rnacentral:rRNA from 1 species
GACGGAGGAUGCAAGUGUUAUCCGGAAUCACUGGGCGUAAAGCGUCUGUAGGUGGUUUAAAAAGUCUACUGUUAAAGAUCGAAGCUCAACUUCGAAGAUGUCGUAGAAACUCUUAAACUUGAGUAUGGUAGGGGUAGAGGGAAUUUCCAGUGGAGCGGUGAAAUGCGUAGAUAUUGGAAAGACCACCAAUGGCGAAGGCACUCUACUGGGCCAUUACUGACACUGAGAGACGAAAGCUAGGGGAGCAAACGGG